AAGGAUCCACAUCACGUCUACAUACAUACAUAGGCAUGCCAUUCAGGGUUCACAUGUCUUGCAAUACAUUAUUGAUAAGUGCAAAAUAUGAUCAGGAUCCAAUUAGAAACAGAUUCCGCAGAAGAUCCUUUUAGCUCACAGAACAGUGAGAUCACGCUCCUUGAAACUUGUGGAUGCAAAAGCAUUAUACUGUGACCUGUAAAUAAAAAGAAGCCAUGUCAAACUUUCUAUCAGAUCAUACAUUUGUAAUCAGCCAUAGGAAAUAUCAAAUCACCAUGAUUAUCCUAUCUUUGAACUAAUUGAGCUGUUUAAAUAAAUGCGAGGAACUUUUUACAUUCGUUAGUUCACUACCAGUUCCAUCUUCAGCAAACAUCAAUUUGGAGUAGGUGAACAGCAAAAGUAUGACAAUUCUUAGCUAAAAAGCAUGGAUAUGGAGACAGGCACACGAUAAAGACACGACGAUACGGAUACAGGGACAAAGGAUACGACAUUUUCCAAAGACAGCCAUUUGGAGAUACAACAAAUAUAUAUAAAAUAAAUGAAAAGAUGCCAUGUAAUACAAAGUUGAAGACAAAAAUUAAUGAGAAACUGGGAUGAGAUCGGAAUACUGCCCAUUUGUAGUCUCCUUUUCAAGUGCUCAACGAUUAGAAUACUGCCACGAGACCCAUGUCAUUGCUACAUGCAAAAUAGACCUAAGCAGCAUAGUAUUAGAGACCGAAGAAUUUUGCUAACAUUUGAAACUUGAAUUAAGCUUAAGAACCAAACCAAACAUAGUCUACCAUAGGAAACUUGAAUUCUAACAUUUUUGCAUGGCUACUAGUAUUUGUUCAGCUUAGUUUUAACACCACAAGUUUAAAAUGUUUGGCUGAAACUAUACGAAAUGUUUUGUUCUGUACUAUAGACAAAUUCAUCCUAUAUACAUGUUUUUUAUGUUGAACACAUGUCAAAUACAUCAAAUACUUGAAUGGAUCCCUUGUAGAACCCAUUUCUUAGGUUCUGUGGUGCUACUUUGGAUAUUUCAGAGGAAAACAACAUAUGCUUUCUGAAUUUUGGUUUUUGGUUCUGUUUCAUAAACAACAUAUGUUAAAGUGCAUGGAAGCAAUCGAGAAGGAUGCUUACCCAAUCUCCAUUCUCCAAUGAUACUUGGCUCCCAGAUUCCAUGCUCCCUAACAACAAGCAGCAUAGCCAAUCAGCACAACACUUCAACAGCAGCGCAAGCAGCAGCAGCUCAACAACAUGGGUGCAUGGGGAAGCAACAAGCAAGCAGCAGCUCAACAGGAACAGCAAGAAAUCGAGGUCAAGAACUUACCUGCUUGAGGAGUAGGAGCAUCAUUGGCGGUCGAGUCCCUUUGUGGACUUAGCGGUAGAGUAGCCUGCAAAAUUAGAUUUUGUACCAGACCGUGUCCGGCCAUAUUAGUACGCCGAUUCAGUAGUUUCAGCCGUGUCCGCGUUUCGUAGAUUUUUAGUAUAAGGCUAUUUAGUUUGAAUCUUAGGUUCCUACCUAUAUGGUCACAAAUGUAUGUUUCCAAUUGUGUACAACAUGGUAAAUUAAAUAAUCUAUAUGCUAACUGGAAUAGAAAACAUCAUGCUUUGGUUUGUCGAGCACAGGCUAAAAAUAUUUCUGCACAAUUAUCAAAAAUCAGAAGCUAUCCCUGUUUUCUAUCCUAUCCUAAACUGUGAAGUUAACUACCAGCCACCAAACAGCACACCUACAGCCUGGCUACCACACCACAAGCAAGUCCCACUAAAAACCGAACUCUUAAGCAUAGCUGAAGAUAAACUGAAAGGAACUCCUCCAGCUCUUUCUACAAGGAGGAAUCACAGAAAUAAGAUUCACUAUAAAUGGCAAUGCUAACCCAAGGGAGUACUAUUUAGUACAUACAAUUUUUUGUGCCACUGCCUUGUUCGAAGGAAUUCUGAUUUUACUUGUGUGUGUUAUAACAAACGCUUCAUCUCUACCCAUUCUUCUUGUGCUACAUUCAAUUUAUUGUUCCAUCAGCCAACACAUAUUUAGAUGGGUUAAAGAAUUGCAGGAAACAAUAGCAAUAAUGUACCUCUUCAGUCUUCACCGAUAACACAUGCAGGAUUCUUGCUGCCAGUUGUCUGAAUUGUUUGACCUCUUUGAUAUACGUAUUUGUGCGC
rnacentral:lncRNA from 1 species